rnacentral:lncRNA from 1 species
CAUCUAUGAGACUCUACUGUUUUAAUCAGGAUUGUGUGAUACUUUAUUUUUGAUGCAGCAAGGUUUAACUGCAUGAAGAAAUGCUGACUUGAGCUGAAAGGUGGAGCAUCACAGUGUAAACAUCUGUAGACAGCAAAAAAUUCUCAACCUUCAUUACGAAUUGAUGAAAAUAUCUAUGGAAAAAUAAUAUGGCAAAAUAUUUUAUGUCUUUUUAAAUUUUUUUUUAUUUUAUGUUUUUUUAAAAUCUUACAGGUAUUUUGACUGCAGCAAACAUAUAAACAAUGAUGAGUACAUUUAAAUAGAUAACAAAUAUAAUAAAGAUUUAGCUAAUUCUUAAGAUACUAAAGGCAUUUGUAAGAAGAGACUCCCAAAAAGGAGAGAAAAAUAAUUUUUGGGACUUCUGCAAUUGACUCCCGCUAGCUGGAUCACUGAACAGGAUUGGUUUGUCUUCCAGUUGUUCUUUUUUGACUGACUUAACAAAACUUUUUUUUUUGCCUUUUGACAAAUGCUUUUACUUCUGCUGGCUUGCACUGCUAUACUUUUCCUCAUCUGCUGACCUUGUCUUUGAGAGUAAUGUGAAAAUAAGCUGCUGAAGGAAAAUGUAUUGUAACAAUCUAAAUGUGUUAACAACAUUCCUACAUUUUGCAGAAGAAUGGAGGGAGAAAAGGGAAGACUAGGGCAGGAAGAGGUGAGGGGACUAGGAAUGUCCAGGAUCUUCUAGAUGCCCAGGUAUCAUCAUUUAGGACAUAAAACAUCUUGUUUACUUCUAGUCACGUCACUGGGGUUGUUGUACUGCUAUUUCAGAAAUAAGCUGCAGCUGGCCACAGUGUUCUCUGGAUUAUUAAACUGAACCAGUUAUAGAAGACAAUUCAGUUUGAAAUCAGCAAAGGUGGAUAUUGGGAUCCUUCCGGGACUACAUAAAUGCUUGGAUUUGGCCUUAGUACAAGGAUUAAUCAUAGACUGGAAAAUUUCAGCACCUCUGAGCUAUCAGUGACCUGAUUUGCAUCAUUCCUCAUUAUCCCAUUAUACACAGGGAAGAGACCUGACAAAUAUCCAUGAAGGGUGGCUAUUUUUUGAUCCCUGGGGACUUACACACAACAUGAGCUUAUGGAAAAUACCUUAAUUUUUCCGAUGACCUUUUUCUUCUCUUAAAAUCCUAUCAACACUGAGAUAAGAGUAUUUUCUUUCACUUUCAAGACGGCGUUCCUUUAUUUUUCCUCUAUUUCAAUUUUUUUUUCACAUUCUGAGUUUCUUUUAGUUUUCUCUCAGUGUGUGUUACAAUUCCAUCCCGCGACUGUAUUGUUUAACUAUGAAAUCUACUAAAUAAAUAAAUAAACACAAGAAAGGCUUUACUUCUU